GCCCGGGCGAGAGCUCGUGUGGACCGUCCAGUAACGACAAUCCUGGUCACAGUAGCAGCGAUAGUCGGGUGAGAACCUCGACGGCCUGAAGAGCAAGGGUUCCUCGGCACUGCCGUUCAGCCGAGGGUUAGCCGGUCCUAAGG
rnacentral:rRNA from 1 species